AAAGGAUUGCAUCUGGAGAACGGGAAGUUGGGUGGGGGAUACUUUUUUCGAAGGUACCGGAGUUGAGAUGCUGUUGAGGUGGAGGGUAGGAUCGUUGUGGGUUUUGGACGACGGCGUCAUAUUCGAAUAGCGAGCUGGUACCCAGUGAAAGUAACCCACAUUGGAAUUGCAUUAGGCUUACACUGGAAAGCUUUUGGCGAUGAGUCUCGGGUGCUUAACAUGCAAUGCCUCGACACAGUCAUUUCGGAUAGAGGAGACAUUUCAACGGUCGUUGUCUACCCACUCUGAAGAAGGCGGCGCUUGUCUAAUAGGAUGCUUUGCACGAAGGCCUAUUCAUCAUCGUGCCCGUGCAGAACCAGUUCACCCUCAGGGAUCUAGGGUUGCUCCAAUUCCUGACGCGGAGAGUGCACCCAGGUUGACCCGGUGUUAUGCGAUUCGCAGAGAUUGUACAUUUUUCAGGGAUUGGUCGUUUAACGAAGUUGAAACAGCCACCCUAGUUGGUUAGAUUCCCAGCUAGAGUAGUUUAAGGAAGACUGGUGUCUAAAACUGCAGGAUGAUGGUAUGGUUUGAGAGUGAUAUGCUGUGCCCCAUUGGAGGCUCUUAUGAGUGGGACACGUUGAGCGCUCUGGGUGAGCCUUGACCGGGAGUUUCUCUUUUCCGUGCGGUGUCCACAGGUAUGCAUUCUGUCCUUGUCAGUGCUUUGGGGCUGGGUUUAUUGUUACACACAACUUACUCCUGGCGGUUUUUGAAGGUAGUGGCAAGCAUCUGGGCACGCUGCCGAGCUCUGCAUUGCAACUGUGUAUCAUAUUUCUUUGUAUUUUACAUAAAGAUGUUGUUUUGAGUUGCUUUUGCAAAA